rnacentral:snoRNA from 1 species
CACAUAUUUUAAAACACACUUCUGGAGUACCAGCUUGGAAAGUUUUCCUCUGUCUUUUAAACAAGCAAAAAUGGCCGGAAGGAGAUAAAAAAGAAACCCUUUAUAAUCCAUUGUUGCUGAUAACUCUACAGCUUUACAUGGUUCGCUUUAGGGUAACAUUA